UGGGGAAUAUCGGACAAUGGGCGCAAGCCUGAUCCAGCAAUGCCGCGUGGGUGAAGACGGCCUGCGGGUUGUAAACCCCUGUCAGGGGGGGCGAAAGCCUCUCGGUGAAUAGCCGGGAGGUCUGACAGUACCCCCAAAGGAAGCCCCGGCUAACUCCGUGCCAGCAGCCGCGGUAAUACGGAGGGGGCUAGCGUUAUUCGGAAUUACUGGGCGUAAAGCGCGCGCAGGUGGCGCAAUAAGUGGCUGGUGAAAGCCCUCGGCUCAACCGAGGAACUGCCUGCCAAACUGCCGCGCUUGAGGCCGGGAGGGGGAAGCGGAAUUCCUGGUGUAGCGGUGAUAUGCGUAGAUACCAGGAGGAACACCGGUGGCGAAGGCGGCUUUCUGGACCGGUUCUGACACUCAUGCGCGAAAGCGUGGGGAGCAAACAGGAUUAGAUACCCUGGUAGUCCACGCCCUAAACGAUGGGCACUAGGCGUCGCGGGUGUCGACCCCUGCGGUGCCGUAGCUAACGCGUUAAGUGCCCCGCCUGGGGAGUACGGUCGCAAGGCUG
rnacentral:rRNA from 1 species